rnacentral:snRNA from 1 species
GUGCUCGCCUUGGCAGGACAGACACCAAACUGAGACAAGGCAGAGGAGUCUAGCAUGGUCGGGGCAAGGAUGACACUCAGAUAUGGGCAGUGUUCCAUAUUUUU